ACUCACAAGUUCUUGGUGAAAUUCACUGGAGGAACUUCUGUGAAUGAUGACAACAAACACGACAUACCCCCCAUACAACGCAACUUCACCAGUUUCUCUGAUAUUAUGACCGACAACUUUAAGAAGGAUGUCCUGAUCGUGGUGGAAAAAAAUUGCAAGUCAAUUUUGUACUCAGGGAUGCAGCCAACAACACAAUGAACUACACCCUCUGGGAGGACUAUGCCAAACAGUUUUUCAAGUUUAGCAAGGAAAAUUCGUCAACAUCUGGACCAACUGUUG